GCCAACAUAGUCCUUAUUUGAGUAUUGGUUACUUUUAUCAUGAUGAACAUACAAGAGUUAGGGGUUAAUAUGAUAUUAAUGAUGUUUUGCAUGCAUAUUUAUUUUGGUGGUGCCUAUUUUGAGUUGAUAAUCAUGAAUUAUGGAUAUAUUGAGUUGAUUCUGGACUCACUUUCAUGUUUAUAUGAGUUGGAUGGAUUGGAUAUCAUCAUAUAAGUUGA
rnacentral:lncRNA from 1 species